GGAAAAGAGGGAGGAGCCAUGGUUCCUCCCUGGGGUCAGCCCCGGGGACUAAGACAGACCCCCUCCCCAAGCAGUGCCCAUGUUAGGCAGUUACCAUCAGCUCCUCACGGCACCAGGACUGUGCUGACAGAGUUUUGCAUCACCUCCCCGGGAGAAGGUUUCUCUUAGUUAAAAGGGGUCAUUCCUUCAUUUGCAGUCAACCUGAAAUUUAUUUAUUUGGGGGAGACAUAGGAGCUAGACUACCAUUUAAGAAUACUAGGGUUUCUAGAAUAAAUUGUCGUCUGCCCUGUGCACCUCCCUUCCUCAUCCGGGGACUCAGGAACCACCUGAUGGUCAGAGAAGCGCAGAUGCUGCUGCUCUGCUCGCCACGGUGAAACCAGCAGGAUUUCACAGAACAUGACCUCCGACGGCCCAGCCGAUUACUGCCUCAUCACAACGUGCACAUUACAGAUGCUUACGAAUGUGCAUUGAAUGGGGGCGGUCUGCAAUGAAAAGGCUCUCCGGGGCUCUCUGUGCAGUGCUCUCAGCAAAGGGGACGCCCCUAACACGUCACUGUGUGACCCAGCACCGAGCCAUUUCAUAACUAUGACUCGACAGUUGACAAGUGACGGAAGAAAACACCAACCAGAAAACUAGACGCACAAGGGGAAGAAAUUCCUCCUCUGCAGCGUGGGGCCGUUUCUUUCUUCUCUCCUCACCUCUGCACUCAAAACUGAGAAAAAGCCCAGCCUCUCUGCGGAUCACUCGUCACCCGUCCCAGGGAGCCGGGACGAGUCGUUGGGCUCUCACUGUCAGAAGCUUUACAAACCAACACCUGUGUCCUAAGAGGCCUGAGAAAAAGGACAGAGCGGCAAAGAAGCUGCCACCUGAUUUGGGACGCCUGUUCUGGGAGCUGCUCUCGCUCGGACAGGCGGGGACCCAGCAGCCGCCUCUUCCAUUUGGAUUUGUCUUCUGUCCCAGUAACUAGCCUGUCGGCAGCUCACAAACAAAGGGAACUGAUAUUCAUUAAGUUCCUACUGUGUGCCAAGAACUACUCCCAGUUCUUCACAUACCUCAUCUUUAUAGACGAAAAUGAAGGGAUCAGGGAGGGCCCGGGGUCACGGAGCUCGUGGGCAGCACAGCUUGGUGGAACUCUCUAGGGUGGGAUGUGCAGUGUGGAAAAAGACCCAGCUCAGUACAGGCAGAGACCACUCAGUCGACACUCAUUGAUUGACCGACUGAGUCAAUAAAUGUCAAAUCAUAUCAUAAAGGACUUAUUUCCCUUCCACGCUGUGAAAGAUGCAGGCCUUUCCUCCACUGUAAUGGGGAGAAGGGC
rnacentral:lncRNA from 1 species